UUGACUCAAAAUUGGUUUAUACUGAAGCCUGAAUGGAAGUCACAGUCAGACUACAGAACCAAGGCCCUCAAGAUUCCCUGCUUCUUUUAUGGCAUCCUUGUGGUAUUGACCAGAAUUACAAUGCAGAUUAUUAAACCCAUUUUCAAGUUGAGAAAACUGAGAUUUCAAGAGAUUAAGUGACUUGCAAAUUAAAGAUUUCAUCAGGUAAUAUUUUUGGAGUGGAGAUGUCAGAGCAAGUUCUGGAUCUGCUUCUGAGACUGACUUUCAGCAGUUUUCUCAAAGCAGAGUUUCAUCUAAGCAACAAUGAAGGAAGCCUUCAAUUUCAAAUUCUCGGGGGGAUUCAAAUACUUUCUGAGAAAAAGGGUGGCUGUUCCAGGCAUGAAAUGAAUGCUGUGCUUAGCAACAAGUCAAUGCACUCUAAAGUUCUUGCAAAGGAAAACAAUUUUAUGAAGGUUCCUAAGGUGAAGUACUGUGAACAAUACAUUAAUAUGUAUUUUCCCCUAAAUACUUCUGGUUCUCUUUUCCACUUUUCUGGUGUUAUCUUUAGCAGUUAAUGGCCAUACUUCUAUCUGGUCCCAUAUCAUUAAUUUUGAUCAGAUGUUUUCUCCUCUCAGGUCCCAUAAGUGAAAAAUUCCAAACACAAUGCCUAGAUUAGCACAAAAAAGCUAGCACAUAAAGUACAAUCUUUUAAAUAAUCACAGUCAGUAACAGUAAUGCUAAUAAGAUGCCAUGAUAACAAUAAUAAUAAUAAUAACAUUAAGAAGUCUUACCUUCCAAUAAAACUUGUUGCUUUCAAAACGACCUCAAAAAGCCUUUGUUAACUGGCAUACUGGGCCAUAAAGCUAAACAGAAGUCACAUCAGAUCUAAAAUGAGAUUCGUAUACUGCUUUAUUUGCUCUGAUUAAGCCAUGCUUUUGUUUGUGCUUUUGAAGUAUAAAGAAAAGAAAAACUGAGGGUAUUUAUACAUAUAUACGUUACAAUAUAUUUGUCUCUAUGUAUGUACGUAUGUAUAUGUCUACCAUUCUAGCUAAAUAAAGUUUA